UACGUAGGCAGCGAGCGUUGUUCGGAGUUACUGGGCGUAAAGGGUGUGUAGGCGGUUGUUUAAGGUUGGUGUGAAAUCUCCCGGCUCAACUGGGAGGGUGCGCCGAAUACUGAAUGACUUGGAGUGCGGGAGAGGAGAGUGGAAUUCCUGGUGUAGCGGUGAAAUGCGUAGAUAUCAGGAGGAACACCGGCGGUGUAGACGGCUUUCUGGACCGUAGCUGACGCUGAGACACGAAAGCGUGGGGAUCAAACAGG
rnacentral:rRNA from 1 species